rnacentral:rRNA from 1 species
AGAGUUUGAUCCUGGCUCAGGACGAACGCUGGCGGCGUGCUUAACACAUGCAAGUCGAUCGGAAAGGCCCUUCGGGGUACUCGAGCGGCGAACGGGUGAGUAACACGUGAGUAACCUGCCCCUGACUCUGGGAUAAGCCCGGGAAACUGGGUCUAAUACCGGAUAUGACACCUCCUCGCAUGGGGUGGGUGUGGAAAGUUUUUCGGUUGGGGAUGGACUCGCGGCCUAUCAGCUUGUUGGUGGGGUAAUGGCCUACCAAGGCGACGACGGGUAGCCGGCCUGAGAGGGCGACCGGCCACACUGGGACUGAGACACGGCCCAGACUCCUACGGGAGGCAGCAGUGGGGAAUAUUGCGCAAUGGGCGAAAGCCUGACGCAGCGACGCCGCGUGGGGGAUGACGGCCUUCGGGUUGUAAACCUCUUUCAGCAGGGACGAAGUUGACGUGUACCUGCAGAAGAAGCGCCGGCUAACUACGUGCCAGCAGCCGCGGUAAUACGUAGGGCGCAAGCGUUGUCCGGAAUUAUUGGGCGUAAAGAGCUCGUAGGUGGCUUGUCACGUCGGGUGUGAAAGCUUGGGGCUUAACUCCAGGUCUGCAUUCGAUACGGGCUGGCUAGAGGUAGGUAGGGGAGAACGGAAUUCCUGGUGUAGCGGUGAAAUGCGCAGAUAUCAGGAGGAACACCGGUGGCGAAGGCGGUUCUUGGGCCUUACCUGACGCUGAGGAGCGAAAGCGUGGGGAGCGAACAGGAUUAGAUACCCUGGUAGUCCACGCUGUAAACGUUGGGCGCUAGGUGUGGGGACCUUCCACGGUUUCCGCGCCGUAGCUAACGCAUUAAGCGCCCCGCCUGGGGAGUACGGCCGCAAGGCUAAAACUCAAAGGAAUUGACGGGGGCCCGCACAAGCGGCGGAGCAUGUUGCUUAAUUCGACGCAACGCGAAGAACCUUACCAAGGCUUGACAUUGCCCGGAAACACUCAGAGAUGGGUGCCUCUUCGGAUCGGGUGACGGGUGGUGCAUGGCUGUCGUCAGCUCGUGUCGCGAGAUGUUGGGUUAAGUCCCGCAACGAGCGCAACCCUUGUUCAAUGUUGCCAGCACGCUCCUUCGGGGGUGGUGGGGACUCAUUGGAGACUGCCGGGGUCAACUCGGAGGAAGGUGGGGAUGACGUCAAGUCAUCAUGCCCCUUAUGUCUUGGGCUGCAAACAUGCUACAAUGGCCGGUACAGAGGGCUGCGAUACCGCAAGGUGGAGCGAAUCCCUAAAAGCCGGUCUCAGUUCGGAUUGGGGUCUGCAACUCGA